AACUUUUGGCAACGGAUCUCUUGGUUCUGGCAGCGAUGAAGAACGCAGCGAAAUGCGAUAAGUAAUGUGAAUUGCAGAAUUCAGUGAAUCAUCGAAUCUUUGAACGCACAUUGCGCCCUCUGGUAUUCCGGGGGGCAUGCCUGUUCGAGCGUCAUUAUAACCACUCAAGCUCUCGCUUGGUAUUGGGGUUCGCGGUUUCGCGGCCCCUAAAAUCAGUGGCGGUGCCUGUCGGCUCUACGCGUAGUAAUACUCCUCGCGAUUGAGUCCGGUAGGUUUACUUGCCAACAACCCCUAAUUUUUUAAGGUUGACCUCGGAUCAGGUAGGGAUACCCGCUGAACUUAAGCAUAUCAAUAAGCGGAGGCU
rnacentral:misc_RNA from 2 species